rnacentral:rRNA from 1 species
AGUGAACGCUGGCGGUAGGCCUAACACAUGCAAGUCGAACGGCAGCACAGUAAGAGCUUGCUCUUACGGGUGGCGAGUGGCGGACGGGUGAGGAAUACAUCCGAAUCUACUUUUUCGUGGGGGAUAACGUAGGGAAACUUACUCUAAUACCGCAUACGACCUACGGGUGAAAGCAGGGGAUCUUCGGACCUUGCGCGAUUGAAUGAGCCGAUGUCGGAUUAGCUAGUUGGCGGGGUAAAGGCCCACCAAGGCGACGAUCCGUAGCUGGUCUGAGAGGAUGGUCAGCCACACUGGAACUGGGACACGGUCCAGACUCCUACGGGAGGCCGCAGUGGGGAAUAUUGGACAAUGGGCGCAAGCCUGAUCCAGCCAUACCGCGUGGGUGAAGAAGGCCUUCGGGUUGUAAAGCCCUUUUGUUGGGAAAGAAAAGCAGCAGGUUAAUACCCCGCUGUUCUGACGGUACCCAAAGAAUAAGCACCGGCUAACUUCGUG